rnacentral:pre_miRNA from 1 species
UUACUACUCCCUCCGUCCCAAAAUAAGUGACUCAAAUUGACUCAGUUUUGUACUAACUUUAGUACAAAGUAGAGUUACUUUUGAGUCACUUAUUUUGGGACGGAGGGAGUAUUAU